rnacentral:rRNA from 1 species
UACAGAGGUCUCGAGCGUUGUUCGGAUUCAUUGGGCGUAAAGGGUGCGUAGGUGGCGCAGUAAGUCGGGUGUGAAAUCCUGAGGCUUAACCUCAGAACUGCAUUCGAUACUGCUGUGCUUGAGGACUGGAGAGGAGACUGGAAUUCAUGGUGUAGCAGUGAAAUGCGUAGAGAUCAUGAGGAAGACCAGUGGCGAAGGCAGCCCCCUGGGUCAACACUGACGCUCAUGCACGAAAGCGUGGGGAGCAAACAGG